GACCGCGAAGGGGGACCUGGCUGCGGCCGUGGGAGGGGGCGCCCGCCGGCGUCUGGGCCGGGCCGCGGGGCCGCGUGGGCUCGGGCGGCCGGGCCAGGGCUCGCGGGGUGGGGCGGGCUCCGAGUCUCGGCCUCUGGGGUCGGGAGUCUCCACGGGCGUUUCCGGGGUCUCCGCAGAUGUGAAUCCGAUGGAGCGGCCCGAGGAAGGCAAGCAGCCGCCGCCGCCGCAGCCCUGGGGACGGCUCCUGCGCCUGGGCGCCGAGGAGGGCGAGCCGCACGUCCUCCUGAGGAAGCGGGAGUGGACCAUCGGGCGGAGACGAGGUUGCGACCUUUCGUUCCCUGGCAAUAAACUGGUCUCUGGAGAUCACUGUAAAAUUGUAGUGGAUGAAAAAUCAGGUCAGGUGACACUGGAAGAUACCAGCACCAACGGAACAGUGAUUAACAAGCUGAAAGUUGUGAAGAAGCAGACGUGCCCUUUACAGAGUGGCGAUAUCAUCUACCUGGUGUACAGGAAGAAUGAACCGGAACACAACGUGGCAUACCUCUAUGAAUCUUUAAAUGAAAAGCAAGGCAUGACACAAGAAUCCUUUGAAGCUAACAAGGAAAAUGUGUUCCAUGGGACCAAAGAUGCCUCAGGUGCAGGUGUAGGUGCAGGGCCAGGGGCCGAUCCCCGGCUCCCUCCGUUGUCGCCCACCGCUCAGGUGUGCUUUGAGGAACCACAGCCAUCGACGUCCACGUCAGACCUCUUCCCCACAGCCUUGGCCUCUUCCACGGAGCCGCCUCCUGCAGGGCGAGAGCAUUCCUCCAGUUGCGAGUCUGGGGGUGGUGGCAUCUCCCCUAAAGGAUGUGGUCCCUCCGUGGCAAGUGAUAAAAUCUCCAGCUUUGCCUCAGCUCGCCCAGACAGAAAGCCUGCAUCCUUUUCGUCAUUGGAACCCCAGGAUCAGGAGGAUUUGGAGCCUGUGAAGAAGAAAAUGAAAGGAGACGGGGACCUUGACCUGAACCUGCAGUUGUUGGUCGCACAACCGCGUGGAAACGCCCAAACCGUCCAGGAGGACGUCAGAGCAGCGACUGGGAAGCCAGACAAGAUGGAGGAGACGCUGACAUGCAUCAUCUGCCAGGACCUGCUACACGACUGCGUGAGUUUGCAGCCCUGCAUGCACACGUUCUGCGCGGCUUGCUACUCGGGCUGGAUGGAGCGCUCGUCCCUGUGCCCCACCUGCCGCUGUCCUGUGGAGCGUAUCUGUAAAAACCACAUCCUCAACAACCUCGUGGAAGCGUACCUCACCCAGCACCCAGACAAGAGUCGCAGUGAAGAAGAUGUGCAAAGUAUGGAUGCCAGGAAUAAAAUCACUCAAGACAUGCUGCAGCCCAAAGUUAGGCGGUCUUUUUCUGAUGAAGAAGGGAGUUCAGAGGACCUGCUGGAGCUGUCAGACGUUGACAGUGAGUCCUCGGACAUUAGCCAGCCAUACGUUGUGUGCCGGCAGUGUCCUGAGUACAGAAGGCAGGUGGCGCAGCCUCCCCACUGCCCAGCAUCCGAGGGUGAGCCAGGAGCCCCGCAGGCCCUGGGGGAUGUACCCUCCACGUCCGUCAGCCUCAUGACAGCAGUCCAGGAUUACGUGUGCCCUCUGCAAGGAAGCCACGCCCUGUGCACCUGCUGCUUCCAGCCCAUGCCCGACCGGAGAGCGGAGCGCGAGCAGGACCCACGUGUCGCCCCUCAGCAGUGUGCCGUCUGCCUGCAGCCUUUCUGCCAUCUGUACUGGGGCUGCACCCGCACCGGCUGCUUCGGCUGCCUGGCCCCGUUCUGUGAGCUCAACCUGGGUGACAAGUGUCUGGACGGCGUGCUGAACAAUAACAGCUACGAGUCGGACAUCCUGAAGAAUUACCUGGCAACCAGAGGUCUGACGUGGAAAAACAUGUUGACCGAGAGCCUCGUGGCUCUCCAGCGAGGAGUGUUCCUGCUGUCUGAUUACAGGGUCACAGGGAACACCGUGCUGUGUUACUGCUGUGGCCUGCGCAGCUUCCGGGAGCUGACUUACCAGUAUCGGCGGAACAUUCCUGCUUCCGAGUUGCCAGUGGCUGUAACAUCCCGUCCUGACUGCUACUGGGGCCGUAACUGCCGCACUCAGGUGAAAGCUCACCACGCCAUGUGAGUGCAGCUGGGGGCACAGGCGUCAGCUGCAGGGUGAUAAACGAGUUCACCGCCUGCUUACAAAUACGCUGAUAUGGAAAUUCAAUCACAUCUGUGAACAGACAAGGUUCAAAAACUAAGCAUCCAGAGGCCCCGAGCAGCUUUCAGCACUGAAGGGGAAGAGAGCGUGUUUUUAAAAUACAGAGACAAACAUGUCAGGGCGUUUUCACAGCCCCCUGAGGGACGCAGGGUCUCCGGCAGGUGCUCUGGGGUGACUCUUCUGUGGAGCUUUACCCUCUGAGUGAGACCCUCCCCAGAGCCCUGGGGGCCACAACCCGCCCUCCUGGCGAGUGCUGGGUGGGGCUCGUGGUGGCGUGAGCAGCAGAGACGAAGCCUUUCCGUGACACGCAGCCGUCCCGCCCAGAGGGGCAGGUUUGCUCUUUUGUAUGUUUUCCGUAACCACAGGUAAAGCAGCAGUCUGUUUUCAGGACGAGUUUCAAGGGAGAAAGGGGACAGUUUAUCAAAAACAUUGUUUCAGGAGAAGGGAGCAUAAGUUUACAGCCUACAGGAUGUACACAAUAUUCUGCUGUUGGGAAAACCACAGCAUUUUAUAUAUUUUUUAUUUUAAUAGGUUUGGUGCUUAUCUUCUAAUAAGAUUUAAAUAUCACAAACUGUAGCACAAAUAAUAUAAUUUAUAAUUUACAAAUUGACUAAAAUUGGGUAUAGUAUGGUAUUUGAAAGAAUAAGCAUAUGCUUCUGUUUAUUGAAAAAAAACUUCCAGUGUCCAAAACUGCUAACCCUCGACGUGGCCGUCAAGUUAGUCGCUCCUUGCUAACCUGUGGGUGACCACGGCCCCAAGCCUGGAGCUGGACGCAGGGCCCAGGACGCUCCACUCCCUUCACGGCCCCGAGCCCGGGGCUGGACGCAGGGCCCAGGUCGCGCCGCUCCCUUCACGGCCCCGAGCCCGGGGCUGGACGCAGGGCCCAGGUCGCGCCGCUCCCUUCACGGCCCCGAGCCCGGGGCUGGACGCUGGUCCCAGGACGCGCCGCUCCCUUCACGGCCCCGAGCCCGGGGCUGGACGCAGGGCCCAGGACGCGCGGCUCCCUCAUGCUGCCCGGGCCCUUCCUCCAAGACCCUACAGAGCCUGAGGGGCACCUUGGCUUCCGCCUGUGCUAGGUUUGCCAUGUCAGCUGGAAUAAUACUUGAAAUUUUGAUUUUUGGAAAAAAAAGUUUUUUAUAUUUUGUUGAAAUCACCUGUUAUCCUUGUUUGCAAACUGGUAACUUUUUUGCUUCUCAGGAAUACAGUUUUCAGCUGUUGACUUGCUCUUGAUAGGAACUGAGAAGCAGCACUGUCUCUGCGUUUGUGGAGGAAAGCCCUCUCUUUUGCAUAUUCUAAUAAAUGAGCCGCCUUCGCUCCUCC